rnacentral:rRNA from 1 species
CCUACGGGUGGCAGCAGUGAGGAAUAUUGGUCAAUGGGCGGAAGCCUGAACCAGCCAAGUAGCGUGCGGGAUGAAGGACCUACGGGUUGUAAACCGCUUUUGCACGGGGAUAACACCCUCCACUUGUGGAGGUCUGCAGGUACCGUGCGAAGAAGGGCAGGCUAAUUCCGGGCCAGCAGCCGCGGUAAUACGGAAGGCCCGAGCGUUAUCCGGAUUCAUUGGGCGUAAAGGGAGCGAAGGCGGGCGUUCAAGUCAACUGUAAAAUCGCGCCGCUCAACCGCGCCCCGUAGUUGAAACUGGACGCAUUUAGUUCACAACAGUCAGGCGGAAUUCGUGGUGUAGCGGUGAAAUGCAGAGAGAUCAUGAGGAACCCCGAUUGCGAAGGCAGCCUGCCAGGGUGCGACUGACGCUGAGGCUCGAAGGUGCGGGUAUCAAACAGGAUUAGAUACCCGAGUAGUC